rnacentral:ncRNA from 1 species
CCGAUGAAGUCUGCCGACCGAUUGUAAUCCAGGUCUCCACCGAUGCUAGUCAACCUCUGUUGGCAAGACCGUCAAAUUGCUGGAACACCCUAAAGCCCUCUGUACCCCUGCGAGUGGAAACACUCAAAGGAUCACGCUGGAGCGUGUUGGUAAAAAUCAGAGCGGAUGGAUCGAAAGAUCAAAUGGGCAAUCAGCAGCCAACCCCGUAGUGCUCGUCUAAGAGAUACACGUACAAGAUCGCCUGCGGAUCUUUGUGUCUCAUUCUGAGAAAACCGGGGGCAGUUCAACGACUAGAUGGCGGUCGGCGACUUGAUCGUGUCCUUACCAGGGCCCAUCCCCAACUUUUCUUGCGGGGGUGUGUAUCACUCGCUUAAGAUAUAGUCUAUAUAGUAUGGAAACAUACGG